UUCGCUAAUCCAGAAGUCUCCAGCAUGCCUCAACGAGAAGCCUCGCGUCCUGCAUCUGAAAACCACAAAAUCCGCAUGGGUGAGAACCAGAGGUCCCCAGCACGGUAACAGCUUCCACAUAUAUAAUACAUAAUAAUAGAGGAAAGCCAAAGGCAAUCCUAGAACUUCCUCCAGAUAAUAUCAAAGCUUAUAAACAAGCUAAACCAUAUAAGGGUAUCUGACUAAAGAUUCUUCAGUCUAAAUUUUCUAAGUUAAAAGCUGCAGAAUUUACAGAUUCAAACCCCAAUCUUCCGACGGACAUAACUUCCUCAUUUUAAAUCGUUUUUCACUCGUUCUUCGAACGGAAUGGACAUCCCGGAUCCAAUUUCAUUUCUAAACAGAUUUGGCACAAAUCACAGAUCCGUAGUCCAAGUUAUGUCCCGUCAAAGUAUGCCCAAAAACCAUGUUUUUAUACAAAACCACAAUGUGCCAUUUUCAAAACAAGCCACUUUCAACUCUUUUCAAAAUCAAUCAAACAUGCCAAUUUCAAUCCUUCUCUUUGAAAUCAUUCAAAAUGUACCAAAAUCAACAACAAGCCAUCCUCAACUCACACAUUGACACUUUACCAAGGUUUCCAAAACCACAUCCAACCAUUUUAACACUUCUCAAUCAAAUGGCUAAAGGACAAACACAAUAUCAUGUCAUACAUCCUUCCCAUCCCAAUUUCCAAUAAUACCAUUUCCAAUUAACCAUCAUUAUACAUAAUCAACAUCAUACUCACCAUCAACAUGGUACCACCCAUCAAUUCAACC
rnacentral:lncRNA from 1 species